rnacentral:ncRNA from 1 species
UCUCAUUAAGAGUGGCUAAGGGAUCUGGCCCUGUGACGCCACGGCAACCGGUUGGAAAGCGAAUCCAACGACAAGGUGCCAAAUCCAGCCCGGCAUUAAAGCUAGGGAAAAAU